UACGGAGGGUGCAAGCGUUGUCCGGAAUCACUGGGCGUAAAGGGCGCGUAGGCGGCCUGGUAAGUAGGGGGUGAAAUCCUGCGGCUUAACCGCAGGGCUGCCUUCUAAACUGUCAGGCUUGAGCACGGUAGAGGCAGAUGGAAUUCCCGGUGUAGCGGUGGAAUGCGCAGAUAUCGGGAGGAACACCAAUGGCGAAGGCAGCUCGCUGGGACGUUACUGACGCUGAGACGCGAAAGCGUGGGGAGCAAACAGG
rnacentral:rRNA from 1 species